rnacentral:rRNA from 1 species
UGGGGAAUAUUGCACAAUGGGCGCAAGCCUGAUGCAGCCAUGCCGCGUGUAUGAAGAAGGCCUUCGGGUUGUAAAGUACUUUCAGCGGGGAGGAAGGUGUUGUGGUUAAUAACCACAGCAAUUGACGUUACCCGCAGAAGAAGCACCGGCUAACUCCGUGCCAGCAGCCGCGGUAAUACGGAGGGUGCAAGCGUUAAUCGGAAUUACUGGGCGUAAAGCGCACGCAGGCGGUCUGUCAAGUCGGAUGUGAAAUCCCCGGGCUCAACCGGGGAACUGCAUCCGAAACUGGCAGGCUUGAGUCUUGUAGAGGGGGGUAGAAUGCCAGGUGUAGCGGUGAAAUGCGUAGAGAUCUGGAGGAAUACCGGUGGCGAAGGCGGCCCCCUGGACAAAGACUGACGCUCAGGUGCGAAAGCGUGGGGAGCAAACA